CGGAUCAUGUGGAUUUGAACUGUUUCUUCAAAGUUUGCCGUCGGAUCAGGUGUGCGAGGCCUGUUUCUUCAAACUUUGCCCCCCGUGCCGGCGCGGCUGCCAGCGAGACACGGGUGCCGGCGAGGCUUCCAGCGAUCCACGGGUGCCGGCGCGGCUGCGAGCGAGACACGGGUCCCGGCGCGGCUGCGAGCGAGACACAGGUUAGUAACCUGUACACAGUUCGCUUCUGGUUAAACUAAUGCGGGAAGAGACUGGGUUAACUAUACAACUGUUCGAUUGGUGGUGUGACAUAGCCCCAACUGUUCGUCCGAUUCGUACAUGAUCCUGACUGUUCUUGUGUGCUAGCGAGGCAUAUACCUGUUCAAAGUAUUAGAUUAAACUGCUUUAAGUAUACAACCAAUGCAUAGCAAGGCUUGACAUAUGUAUACAUUCAAACCUUUUGAAAACUUACUGCUUCUCGAGAGGUAUCCUAACCCCGGCUAUAAUUUUUCUGACGUUCUACCGAAGUAACCUGUACCAAGAACAUGGCUAAGGAGGAUAAUUUGAUAUAUACAUGAUUUCUAUUCAACAAGCAACGCUAUCAGAAUAAAUGCAGCACGAAUAUGAUUGUGCGGUUUCAGAUUAGCUCCAUAGUGUUCCUUUUUUUAAUUAUCAAGAGCUUGUUGAAAUAACUGUGGUACAUAAUAUAUGGAAUCCAGUAUGCACUUAUAUGCACUUAGUUGACUAUCUUUAGUUUCUAUAUAUACUGAUGGAACUAUCUUCAGUUUGUAUAUAUACUUGUCACAAAUCAGUACUUGGCACAAACCUAUCUCGGUGGCGUAUGAGAAACAAGAUUUGUGUCCGAGAAAAAAAUACUACAAAUGGAGGAUGAGAUGAUGCUGCCAGGCCAAAGCAACAUUUUCAUGUUGUCCCCUGACUCUAUGCUUUUCUGUGUGGUUUCAUCUACUCUCCUUUUUAUUUAUUUUUUUUGCUUUUCUUAAUCUCGACCAGCCUAGGAAGAAGAAAACUUGAACCAAAGUAGUUAAUCCAUUGCACAACUCAAUGCAUUUCAACUUGUUCUGUUGCUUCCACCAAAAUCAUGCAGAUAUAAAGAUAAUACAAGAAGGUUAGUUACCUUCCUUUGUGCAGGACAAGAACUCUACCCGCUGCCAUUUUACGGAACCUGUAGCAAGCAAUGCAUUACAUGACAAUGUUGGUUAUUGGGCACAAAAACUGAAGAGAAGCAUUAUUGUACCAAACAUGCCAAGAACUUACUUUACUUCUGUUCAAUGUAGAUUAAAGUGCGUUAAAUAUAGUAUACGGUACUUAUUGGUCUGCUUUGCCAAUGACAAUUGUCUAUGACAGUGAUGUCCUCAAACGACUUGACCCCGUUUGGUUCUCGUUGGGAAAGGGUGAAUCUUGCUAAGCAACACCGACAACGACAAAUGGAGGCGACAACUGGGCUCCGACAACCUCUUGGUGAUAUCACCAAUGUUGAUAGACUCCCCAAAGAGGGUCCAGGUAUAUUUAAUUGAUAAUUGAUUAGUAUUUGGUGAUUGUUAAAUUACUAACCUAAACAAUCCCUUUCGCAAGCUAUUGGAGCUGGCCCACAACCAUCGAGCGGCUUGUUUAUUCAUGAAGCAGAUGUCCCGUCUCCCUCGACCAUAGAACUUCCGAAAGGGAGUCCAGGUAUAACUCAUCAGCAAUAUUUAAAUGCCUUCGAUAUUGGUGAUUACUAAUUUGAACAAUCCCUUUCGCAAGCCGUUGCAUCUGACCCACGACCAUCGAGCAGCCUGAUUAUACAUGAAGCACCAAUCCCCUCUGCGUCAACCAUAGAAAACCAUAAAGGUAGUCCAGGUAUAGCUUCCGAACUCACACCUCCUUCCAAUUUCUAAAUAUAAUGAAGCGGUAAAUUUAAUCCAUCAGAGGGGAUUGUUGCGAAUCAUCUGCUUUGGUAUAUAAUUAAUAUAUCGCAACCUUGAUGGUGCAUGAUUUUAUCCAUAAAUAUUAUUACUGUUCAAAAUCAGAUGCUAACUUGUGUAUACCUACAACAACAGAUGGACCUACGAGGGGCCGUGCUGGCCAACGUAAAGGGACCUUAUCAAAGGAGGAAAGGGAUGUCAUCAACGCACGGAGAAGAGCAACUUAUAAGAAGAAAAAAGAAGAGCAAGGGUACCAAGAACAAAAGGAUAAGUUUAACACAAAGAGACGAGAAUCUUAUCAGAAGAAGAAACAGCAGGAAGACCGACAGCGACAGAUGGAUGCGACAAAUGGCCUCCGACACGCUCUUGGUGAAGACACCAAUGUUAAUAUACACCCCAAAGAGGGUCCAUGUAUAUGGAAUUUGUGUAAUGUUUUUAGUAAUUCACCUUCAAUGUUGUUUCUUACUAAUUAACAAAGUCCCUUUCGCAAGACAACCGAUCUGACCCACAACCAUCAAGCGGACUAUUUAUUCGCGAAGCACCAACCCCAUCGCCCUCAACCAUUGAACUACCCAAAGGGAGUCUAGGUAUAACUCUGAGACAAUCUUUAAAUGCCUUUCAUAUUGAAUUUUUACUAAUUUGAACAAUCCCUUUCGCAAGCCAUUGCAGCUGACCCACAACGAUUGGGAGGCCUGAUUAUACAUGAAACAACAAUCCCCUCUGCGUCAACCAUAGAACUCCCCAUAGGUAGUCCAGGUAUUACUUUCGAACUCACACCUCCUUUGAUUUUCUACAAACAUCGAAACAGAAAUAAGUACAAAGUUGAGUCACUUAUUUUGGGACGGAGGGAGUAUCACUGUUGUACCUCCAGUCAACCAUGAGAGCUUUGAACUUGAUUGUUCUGGUUCGGAUGCUAAUGUGUAUAGACCUACAACAAUAGGUCCAGCUAUAAGGGGCUGUGAGGGCCAACGUAACGGGACAUUAUCAACGGAAAAAAAUGAUGUCAUAAACGCACGGAGACGAGCAACUUAUAAAAAGAAAAUAGAAGAGGAAGGGUACCAAGAACAAAAGGAU
rnacentral:lncRNA from 1 species